rnacentral:rRNA from 1 species
ACGGGUGAGUAACACGUGGGUAACCUGCCCAUCAGAGGGGGAUAACACUUGGAAACAGGUGCUAAUACCGCAUAACAGUCAACACCGCAUGGUGUUGGUUUGAAAGACGCUUUCGGGUGUCACUGAUGGAUGGACCCGCGGUGCAUUAGCUAGUUGGUGAGGUAACGGCUCACCAAGGCCAUGAUGCAUAGCCGACCUGAGAGGGUGAUCGGCCACACUGGGACUGAGACACGGCCCAGACUCCUACGGGAGGCAGCAGUAGGGAAUCUUCGGCAAUGGACGAAAGUCUGACCGAGCAACGCCGCGUGAGUGAAGAAGGUUUUCGGAUCGUAAAACUCUGUUGUUAGAGAAGAACAAGUGGGAGAGUAACUGCUCCCGCCUUGACGGUAUCUAACCAGAAAGCCACGGCUAACUACGUGCCAGCAGCCGCGGUAAUACGUAGGUGGCAAGCGUUGUCCGGAUUUAUUGGGCGUAAAGCGAGCGCAGGCGGUUUCUUAAGUCUGAUGUGAAAGCCCCCGGCUCAACCGGGGAGGGUCAUUGGAAACUGGGAGACUUGAGUGCAGAAGAGGA